rnacentral:misc_RNA from 1 species
UAAUAAGUGUUUUAUGGCACUUUUUAAAUCCAUAUCCACCUUGUGUGCAAUGUCAGUCGAUCUUCUUCAUGGAGAUCGACCAAACAUCAACCUUUAUUUUUCAACUCUCUGUCUGAAAAAUAUUAUGAAUAAACAAUUCAAAAUA